AACAUCGCGCACCUGCGGGAACCUGCGGAGGGAUCAUUAAAGAUUGACCGAAAGGUCUUAUCUCUAUAUCCCUCACCUCUGUGAACUGUGGACCUCCGGGUCUAUUUAACAAACAUCAGUGUAAUGAACGUAUAUAUCAUUAAACAAAACAAAACUUUCAGCAAUGGAUCU
rnacentral:misc_RNA from 1 species